UAUUUUAUUUUAUUUAUUUUCUCAAUAACUUCUUAAAUAUUUAUCCAAUCGGAAUCAUAAGAUUAUAGUUAUUCUUGUCUGUACCAAACUUUUCUCUAACUUGCAAGGGCAGAAUCUAUGAGAUCUAGGUGCUCAUACGGACAGACAGACAGACGGAAGGAAGGAAGGACAUGGCUAUACUGUCUCGGGGUUUGUCCCUGAUUUAGAAUAUAUAUAUACUUUAUGGGGUCCGAGAUGCCUCGUUUUGCUUGUUAUAUAGACUUCCCCAAGGAACAAAGUUAUAAUACCCUUCUAACCUAUAGGAAGAAGUGAUAACUAUUAUCAAGAAUCAGAUGACUUCUAUUUGAAUUGAUGCAGCAAAAAGACGCAUUCAAGAUUUGUGUCAACAUUUGGAGCAUCCUCGGCAUUCCUGCGGCUACAACCUUAGCUGUCUAGCUCUAAAUAAAUAAAUAGUGAAAUAAAAUUCACAAUAAUUUAAAUAGUUUUAAGAUAUCAAAUGACUUUUAUCAAAAAUCAAAAUACUCCUACUUCAAUUAUUUUAUAAAAGAAAGGCAAUUGCACGCAUUCUAA